GAUGAACGCUGGCGGCGUGCCUAAUACAUGCAAGUCGAGCGAACAGACGAGGAGCUUGCUCCUUUGACGUUAGCGGCGGACGGGUGAGUAACACGUGGAUAACCUACCUAUAAGACUGGGAUAACUUCGGGAAACCGGAGCUAAUACCGGAUAACAUGUUGAACCGCAUGGUUCAACAGUGAAAGACGGUCUUGCUGCCACUUAUAGAUGGAUCCGCGCCGCAUUAGCUAGUUGGUAAGGUAACGGCUUACCAAGGCAACGAUGCGUAGCCGACCUGAGAGGGUGAUCGGCCACACUGGAACUGAGACACGGUCCAGACUCCUACGGGAGGCAGCAGUAGGGAAUCUUCCGCAAUGGGCGAAAGCCUGACGGAGCAACGCCGCGUGAGUGAAGAAGGUCUUCGGAUCGUAAAACUCUGUUAUUAGGGAAGAACAAAUGUGUAAGUAACUAUGCACGUCUUGACGGUACCUAAUCAGAAAGCCACGGCUAACUACGUG
rnacentral:rRNA from 1 species